CCACAAAAAGUGACUUCAGUCCCUGUUAGACGCGUGAGGGUGUAUUUUCAAUGCCAUAUCAGCCACCCCAACGGUAAAAUAACGUUAAAAUCAUAUUUUCCUUUCAAUUUUUUACAUACCCUGUCUCUCUUUCUUCCCUAUUUAUUCACCAUUAACCUUUCUCCAUUAAUUUGAAAUUCCUUCAUUUAAAUUCAUCUCUUUGCCAUUAAUUUCAGUCCUUUAGCAUAAAUUUCUUUCAUUUCCAUCAAUUUCUUUCCUUCUCAUUUAUUUUUGAAUCCAUGAAUUAUAACAGGAGGCUUGUUUGUGCAUAUGGGUGUCCUCCAAUAGUGUGAAUUUCAUGGUCGGAUGACAACCCAGGUCGUAGAUUCCUUGGAUGUAGAUACUAUGGGAUAUUCCCUAUUUCAAAUUCCAUGUAGGUUCUUCGAUUGGUAUGACCCGGAAUUUCCAACUCAAGCAAAUAUUGUCAUCUCGGGUCUGUUGAAGAAGAUGAACAAGCAACAACAGCAGUUGAAGUGGAGAAGGACAUUAAAAUUAGUUUUGUGCUUUAGUUUGAUGUUUAAUGUGAUAAUGUAUUUGAUCCUAAUCUGUCGCUGAUUUAAGGCUAUGUUUGUGUUAAUUUUGUUGUUGUUAGACGAUGGAAGGUGUACAGUUUGGCGGAUAUGUGUAUGUUUUUAGCUGUUUAAGUGUAUCUUUUUGCUGAUUAAAGCAAUAUAUGUGUUGUUUCUAAUA